AAAAUUCAAAUUGGGAUAAAUUUAGGUAAUUAUUCUCAUAGUUGCAUAAAUUUUCAAAAAUUCACAAGCCAAUCACAAGACAGAAUUAACCGGCCGACGCCAGGGCCUUUCCCCUCCCUCGAAAGGCCCUGGGAUCGAGGUUGUGUAAGAAACUAAGAACAUUCUUAAAAAAUUAUCGUGUUACCAUGACAACUACUUUAGAUACUUCAUGUUCGGAAAAUACAAUGGUUUUGUCGGCAAGGCGAGGGUUUCUGCAUGCAUG